rnacentral:misc_RNA from 1 species
AUAGCAUUCAAAAGAAACAUAAGUAAAUUAUUUAAAAAUAAUAAGCAAUUUACCAAGUAUGUUAAUCCAACAUUAUUAUGUCAUCUAAACCAGGACAGUGCUUUUUCCUAUUUGAAGGACUUGGGCAUUAAACCCAUUACCCCCACCUGCAAUUACUUGAAGGUUUGCCAAUUUAAGCUAAUCCCAAUUGGUAACCAAGCAAACACCAUUAGGUAUAUAUAAACCAUAAUACAGAACACUAAAUAUUUAGCUCAAAGAUCAUUAUGAAAGUUUAAAAAAAAUAAAAAUAAAUAUCACAAGAUACAAAUCCCAUAAAAAGUAAUAAAUUUAUCAAACAAGAUAAGGCAAACAGAGCUCAAUGCAACUGGAACUCAAACAAAAAUUCAUUCAAACCCACAUUAAAAAGAAAUUUAUUUAGGCAACAAACCCUAUUAAAACAAGAAACUAACAACAUUUAUGACAGCCAACAAUUAAUGAAAAUCAAAGCUAUUUCGCAUCCAAUAAAAAUCAGAAAAUAACUGAAUAAUAAUCUAAAAUCACCUGAAA